rnacentral:rRNA from 1 species
UUAGGCUCCCAUGCCCCCCUGAAUGCACCGAUCUUGUCUGAUCUUGGAAGCUGAGCAGGGUUGACCUGGUUAGUGCUUGGAUGGGAAAGUAUGUUUUAGUGGGUUGCUUAAA